rnacentral:rRNA from 1 species
UGCCAGCCGCCGCGGUAAGACGAAGGAUGCAAGCGUUAUCCGGAUUCAUUGGGUUUAAAGGGAGCGUAGGUGGACUGAUAAGUCAGUGGUGAAAUCUCUUCGCUUAACGAAGAAAUUGCCAUUGAUACUGUUGGUCUUGAGUACAGUUGCUGUGGGCGGAAUAUGACAUGUAGUGGUGAAAUACAUAGAGAUGUCAUAGAACACCGAUUGCGAAGGCAGCUCACAAAGCUGUAACUGACACUGAGGCUCGAAAGUGCGGGGAUCAAACAGGAUUAGAUACCCUGGUAGUCCGCACCGUAAACGAUGAUUACUCGCUGCUAGAGAGCAACUUUUAGUGGCUUAGCGAAAGCGAUAAGUAAUCCACCUGGGGAGUACGCCGGCAACGGUGAAACUUAAAUGAAAUGGCGG